UAGCGGAUCUACUUGACCCGGUUUUUGUUUGAUGGAUCCAAUAUAUUCGUAUUAUCACAGUUUACAACCACAAUUUCAUCCGCCGCUCCACAUUUCUUUCACUUUCUAAACCCUAGAUCCUCCACCGCAUAACUGAAGCACCUCCACCGCAUAACUGAAGCACCUCCACCGCACCUCCACCGCACCUCCACCGCACCUCCACCGCUCAUCCAUGGAACCUGUCUUUGCCAUCACCGUCUUCUCCCCUUUCAUCCAUGGAACAGGUCAUGUUUUUAACCCUAUUUUGUACGUUUUUUUUUAAUCUUUGUCAGAUCUGUGAUAAUACUUUUAGAUCUGUUUUAAUACUUUUAGAUUUGUGAUAAUACUUUUAGAUCUGUGAUAAUACUUUUAGAUCUGUGAUAAUACUUUUAGAUCUGUGUUGGUUUUGUGAUUAUUUUAAUGUUCUGUGAAUGGAUCAACAUUAGGGCUUUUUGUUUGAUAAUUAGGGCUUUGUCAGAUCUGUGAAUGGACCAAUUUUAAUUUCUUGCAUUAGGGCUUUGUCAGAUCUGUGAUAAUACUUUUAGAUCUGUUUUAAUACUUUUAGAUCUGUGAUAAUACUUUUAGAUCUGUGAAUCUGUGAUAAUUCUUUUAGAUCUAUGAUAAUACUUUUAGAUGUGUGAUAAUACUUUUAGAUCUGUGUUGGUUUUGUGAUUAUUUUAAUGUUCUGUGAGAUUUAUAGAGAAAACGUAAUUUCUGUUUCAUAAUUAGGGCUUUUUGUUUGAUCUAAUCGGUUACUGAAUUAUGGUUUUGUUUGUAAGGAGAAUCCGAUUGCAAGCUCACCGGCGAAGGAAGCAUACAGGAAUCGGCUGGCGGACAGCCUCAACAUGGGAGUUAUGGAUUGGUUUGAUCCAAUUGCUGAUUCGACUACUAGCCAUCUCGAUCUGAUUCCCCACAUGGUUUAGGGGAGAAGUUUAAAACAACAGGACUAUGGAAGGAUAUACGGUGCUACAUUGACAGUCAAGU